CAGAUCCUCCUGGAGGACCCCGAGGUCUUUCCAGACCAAGUGAGGACAGCAGGCCACGCUGUCUGACGCCAUCACAACAUCCAGCAGGUUUCUGACAUGGUGACAGUGGAGAGGAAAAACUCUCUU